rnacentral:rRNA from 1 species
CCUACGGGGGGCAGCAGUGGGGAAUAUUGCACAAUGGGUGCAAGCCUGAUGCAGCCAUGCCGCGUGGGUGAAGAAGGCCUUCGGGUUGUAAAGCACUUUCAGUUGUGAGGAAAGGGAUGUAGUUAAUAACUGCAUUCUGUGACGUUAGCAACAGAAGAAGCACCGGCUAACUCCGUGCCAGCAGCCGCGGUAAUACGGAGGGUGCGAGCGUUAAUCGGAAUUACUGGGCGUAAAGCGUGCGUAGGCGGUUACUUAAGUCAGAUGUGAAAUCCCGGGGCUCAACCUCGGAACUGCAUUUGAAACUGGGUGACUAAAGUUUUGUAGAGGGUGGUGGAAUCUCCAGUGUAGCGGUGAAAUGCGUAAAGAUUGGAAGAACAUCAGUGGCGAAGGCGGCCACCUGGACAAAAACUGACGCUGAGGCACGAAAGCGUGGGGAGCAAACAGGAUUAGAUACCCUGUAAUCCACGCCGUAAACGAUGUCAACUAGCCGUCUGUAUCCUUGAGAUGUGGGUGGCGCAGCUAACGCGCUAAGUUGACCGCCUGGGGAGUACGGCCGCAAGGUUAAAACUCAAAUGAAUUGACGGGGGCCCGCACAGGCGUGGAGCAUGUGGUUUAAUUCGAUGCAACGCGAAGAACCUUACCAUCCCUUGACAUCCAGAGAAUUUACUAGAGAUAGUUUAGUGCCUUCGGGAACUCUGUGACAGGUGCUGCAUGGCUGUCGUCAGCUCGUGUUGUGAAAUGUUGGGUUAAGUCCCGCAACGAACGCAACCCCUAUCCUUAUUUGCCAGCGCGUAAUGGCGGGAACUCUAAGGAGACUGCCGGUGAUAAACCGGAGGAAGGUGGGGACGACGUCAAGUCAUCAUGGCCCUUACGGGAUGGGCUACACACGUGCCACAAUGGCAUAUACAGAGUGCUGCAAUACCGCGAGGUGGAGCGAAUCACACAAAGAAUGUCGUAGUCCGGAUCGGAGUCUGCAACCCGACUCCGUGAAGUCGGAAUCGCUAGUAAUCGUAGAUCAGAAUGCUACGGUGAAUACGUUCCCGGGCCUUGUACACACCGCCCGUC